CUGCAGGCUAUGAGCACUCCAGGUAAUGAUUUAAACAUGUCCUUCAUACUUCCAUAUUUUCAACUUUUAACAGCACUGUGCAGGGCCUGCCCCAUUCAUGUCACCUUUUGAUCUCCGUGCUGCCACACAGGCUUCCCUCCCUGCCCCUUGAAAAGCUUUUUCUAACUGCAGCUGAGACCUUGGCUCCAACAACAAGCCUAAGAUCUGUAAGAUUUCUCCUGCUUCGUAAGAGGAGACAAUGCUAUAAGAGAGCACAUAAGGGAUACUGCCUUGGCUCAUAGCAGUUACAUAAAGGAGGAGGAAUGGGGAGGAACCAUGUUACCAGGCAGCACCUGCAACAGGUAGAGCUCCUAUUUGUACUAUAACUCUUUCCAUACUGGCCAAGUGGUCUUUCAGCUGCUGAGUCUGUGCUCCAAACAGAGUUUCCUUGAAAAUGAGCAAGGUUCAGCUCAAGCCUCAAAAUUCCAAAGAGCAUGGAUUGUCUAAGUCUGAAAGUGCUCAAUGUGUGAGACAUGACAGGUCACACUGUACUUCAGUAAAGUCCUGGAUCAUUGCACUUGACUUCCAGCUUAUUACCCAGUGUGUCUCUGACUAAGAGGAGAAUAAUUUCCUUAUCACCACGUGUGGUGUCAUUGGGAAUUGGAUUUCCUGUUCCAUCAGCAACACUUCGCAGUCUCAAAGGAGAGGAUUGUCUUUAUAUUUUAGUGUCUUUUGCAAUACAGACUUCCCUCUUUCUUUUACAGAGGGGUGUACAGCAAAUGUGUCAGCAAAUUGCAAAAGGGCUGUCUGUGGGUGUGGUUUCAGUAAGCCCCCUUGAUAAACAUGGAACCCUUCCUAGACACUUCUCUGCAGCCAAAGAUUUAAAUAUUAAAAUAAAUAUAUUUAAUGACUCAAUGGUGUUCUUCUUCAUGGAUGUGAAUUUUCCUUUAAACGCCAGAGAGAGCUGAGAGAAGAGCCAAGUGGCUUGAAUCAUGAUAACCAUGUUGCCAGUAAAAGGCGAGCUGUAUGUUUUGAUUGGCAAAGGCACUAAGGAACGUACCAGCUGUGAAUUAUUUCUUCUCCCUGAAUAAAGGUGUUUGCAGGACAUCUAAAAAUAAAGUCAAAUUAUCUUCGGCUGAUAAUGAUAAGAAAGUUGAGGAAAAUAUUGAAAAGAGCUGAGAAAAGUCCAGAAUGAUCUCCAUCAUGAUGUUUAAAAUUAUGCACAAUUACCAUCUAUAGUCAAGUUACAGACUGCUCUACACAUCUCUGAGGAAGAGGGAGUGGAUGAACCUGAAUGAGGACAACGACUCAGGAAAACCUACACCAUUCUCCUGACAUAGUCAAUAUUAGAUUUUCUAAAGAAGACUGUGUAUGUGGGGGAAAGCUGUGAAAUAGCACUCUUUGUAAAUUAUGGAAAAUCUUAGUCAAGGCAUGGAAGUUGGAGAUGCAAAGAUCUUGUUAAUCCAUCUUAUUCAGAUUUAUCACUGCAGAAGGGCCCUCUCGUGAUAUUUUCUAGUGGUUCAUCUAGCCUCACUUCAGUUCCUAUCUACAAGGUUAUUACUUUUGCUUUUUAGGAAUAAUGAUUAUACAAAGUGGGAAUUCAGGCUUAACUGCUAAGAAGUGGAAAUUUAUUGCAUCAG